CCCCUCUCAGGGUCGCACCUGGAGAGUUUCCAGUACUCUACCAGUCUUGACUGCGGGAGGGACAGGCAAGCAGAUGCAUAUCUAUUCCAUUCCUAUCUUGGGCAGUGGCUAGCGCCUGGAAUGUAAUCUGCUACAAGU
rfam:Ornithorhynchus anatinus chromosome 7, whole genome shotgun sequence.